rnacentral:rRNA from 1 species
UACGUAGGGUGCGAGCGUUGUCCGGAAUUAUUGGGCGUAAAGAGCUCGUAGGCGGUUUGUCGCGUCGACUGUGAAAACCUGGGGCUUAACUCUGGGCCUGCAGUCGAUACGGGCAGGCUGGAGGCUGGUAGGGGCAAGCGGAAUUCCUGGUGUAGCGGUGAAAUGCGCAGAUAUCAGGAGGAACACCGGUGGCGAAGGCGGCUUGCUGGGCCAGUUCUGACGCUGAGGAGCGAAAGCGUGGGGAGCGAACAGG